UGAAAAAAAAUAAUGCUUUCCCAAGAACCAUCACCAUUGCUAAGUUUCUCUUGAGUUCAACGGGGUAACGAAACUAACAAAACUUCUACUCUUGGUUACUCCUACACUUCCGUGAAGAAACACCCCUCCGCGUUCUAUAUAAACAUGUAACAGAAGCACUUCAAAGACACACAUAUGUAGAAAAAGGAAGCACACUUUUUCAAAAAACUUAAUUGGCACAUACAUACUUACACUUGGGUUUCCACUAAAGCUUAGGAGAGGAGAGGUGGGAAGGAUGAUUCUUGGGAUAGCGGCAAUGAUGCUUCAAUGCGUGAUUGAAGUAAGUUUAUCAAUUCAGGACGUGGAGAUUGAGAACAGGCCAUACCACCGCAAUUGUAGCUGCGCACUGCACAACUUGAAGGGUAUUUGCUCUUGCCCUCCAAAAACGAAUAUUUCGUUCCCCAAGAAACAGCCUUGUUGUUCUCGGUGGCUCAUCAGUACGGAACAAAGAAGACCCGAAUGUGCUGUAACAUGUCGCGGACAAGAUUUAGAGAGCUUGUCACAGCAGAGCAACAAGGAAAAGCGCUAAGUAAGCUGCGACAGUUGAGCAACUAACGACGGGUAGGCUGGGGCGACAGACUGGAGUUGCAAAACGUCAUCUGCAAGCUAAAAGCUCACCUGACAAAGGCAACCUUCUGGCUUUUUUGGUUUCGUCAUUGGAAGAAUUUUUUUCGUUUCAUUGGGUCAGAGUACGAGAGUUCAAUUGGUAAGGGAAGAGAACCGUCCCAAUGGUGGAAGCAGAACUCCUCCUACUUUGUCAUGCCAGCAGACCUAACAAGCCUUGACUCAAAACCCUAGCAAGCCUUUGCUUUGACUACAUAAAAAGGAGUUCGGGGAGAAAGCUUCAAUCAAUAGGAUAUUUCUAAUUCUCUAUUCCCGAAUGUAAGAACGUGAAAUUUUAUGGGUUAAAAAAUUGAAGUAAGGAGUUGUUGAAAAUCUAAAAACGGAAAGGAAUUUUGACUCUGUUGGAUUAAGAAAAUAAUUUACUCCAUCCUUCAAAUAC